rnacentral:rRNA from 1 species
AGCCAGGAUGUUGGCUUAGAAGCAGCCAUCAUUUAAAGAAAGCGUAAUAGCUCACUGGUCGAGUCGGCCUGCGCGGAAGAUGUAACGGGGCUAAACCAUGCACCGAAGCUGCGGCAGCGACGCUUAGCGUUGUUGGGUAGGGGAGCGUUCUGUAAGCCGUUGAAGGUGGCCUGUGAGGGUUGCUGGAGGUAUCAGAAGUGCGAAUGCUGACAUAAGUAACGAUAAAGCGGGUGAAAAGCCCGCUCGCCGGAAGACCAAGGGUUCCUGUCCAACGUUAAUCGGGGCAGGGUGAGUCGACCCCUAAGGCGAGGCUGAAAAGCGUAGUCGAUGGGAAACAGGUUAAUAUUCCUGUACUUGGUGUUACUGCGAAGGGGGGACGGAGAAGGCUAGGCUAGCCGGGCGACGGUUGUCCCGGUUUAAGCGUGUAGGGGGUGUGACCUGGUAAAUCCGGUUGCAUGCUAACCCUGAGGCGUGAUGACGAUGCACUACGGUGCAGAAGUAGUUGAUGCCCUGCUUCCAGGAAAAUCCUCUAAGCUCCAGGUAACAUUAAAUCGUACCCCAAACCGACACAGGUGGUCAGGUAGAG